ensembl:lncRNA
GGGGCAGGCACCUGGGGAGCCGGACUUUCGGUUGCCCUUGAAUUGGCUGCACCCACUUAGGUGCAGAAGGGCUACUUCCGAUGGCCCGGGCGGCCGGAGACCAGGUCGCGGGCGCUGCCCUUUGGGCUCCCCAGCCGUUUCCGCCGUUCUUACUCCUGGUUACUCCCCGACGCCGGCUGUCACCUAAUUUCGAAGUCUUUGGUUCGAAGUUAUACAAACAGCGAGCGCGAGCUUGGGAAGUUUUUGGUGCAUUUUCUUAAAGUGGGUUCCUUGACAUCCUGCUUUCCCAAGCCCAGAACUGUGACCAGACGUCAUCCAUCCUCCUCCAGUCCCACCCGCAGCUCCCUUUGUCAUUCUCAGACCUUGCCGUUCCUCUGAGAUGUGCCAGGAGCGAUUGUUGAUGUUUCGUUGAUGUGGGUUUCCACCCGAGCUGCCGCGCUGAAAUCUGGACAGUAGCUGCCGGAGGGUGAGGUCAUGGUGAAAAUCCCCCUUGACCGGACACUGUGAUACAGGCUCUUCCCUAGAAGGAAGCAGAUAAGCAAACAGACCGAGGACAAGAGCCGGCAAAUUUUAGGUUUCCUGCCAGAUUGCAGAGGAUAUGACCAGCCAAGGGACUUUUUUUUCUAUCUUAGUAGCGGAUUCAGGCCAGGACACCUGAAGGGCUGCCAGGAGACAAGCGACAAGUGACAGCUGGCUUGGCAGAGAGACUGCAUCGCAAGGACCCCGGAAGCCGACUUCUUCUCUCUUAGUAUUCUAGUUUCAAGUGGAAAAAGGCAUUUGGGUCGGUCUCUGUUUACGGCAGUGCAGCCCUAAUGCUCCUCGAUUGGGGCUUCUGGGGCUCAGAAACUUCUGUGUCAGGCACUGAGGUGAGAAGGAGGUCAGCAGUCUGAGAGGCUCAUGAACACGUUUAAAUUUAAAAAUCAGUGCUAAUCAGUUUACUGGCCGGGUUGGGUUAAUGGCUGAGGAGCCUCAUGACUUGGUAAAUUGGCUGCAGUAAACAAUACCUACAGUAGGAUUAUCUCCUGUUGUCCUGGCCGAGCCCACAGGGGUGGAUAAGCUACAAUAUACAAAGUAGGGUCAGUUCAACUCCAGUAUCUGUGGAUUGAUAGGGUCAGAAUCACUAGGCCAUGCCUUCAGGCAAAAUCGAUGGUAAAAGUCCACCCGGGAUGCAAGAUCUCUCUGUAGCCUCAGCUAGUGUUUGGGAAGUUCUGUUCUCCAACCAUGAAAGGACAGACCUCUGCCCAGGACAGGGAUAUAGCAUUGGCCCCCAAACACCCAUUUCUACGUGGACUUCAGAUGCUAAUUUGAAUUCUACAAAAGCAGGAAGAGAGAAGCCUAUCAGUUAGUUAACAUCUUUUUUUCUUUUUCCAGUAGUGUGUGCUACAUAAUUGGAGAACCAAGGAUCCCUAGGAGGCAGGAAGGUAUUCCCGCCCUGCCAAUUCAUGUUGUGACAUUUAGACCAGCAGAGAAAGCUGUUCCAAGCCCUGCCUGUAACCUUCUGUUGGAACAAGCUUGGCUCAGAUCAAGCCCAGCUGCUCUAAUCAGUGUUUCCGAAAAAAAGAGACCUCUUUGGGCCCAGCCUGGAGUCUGGCUGCAGCUGUCCAACUGCUUCUAACUGUUUGGUCAUCAAGCCACCUUGAAAACAUGAGCAUUAAAAUGAGCUAGAGGUUUGGUGACUCCUCGGAAAGUUAAACGUAACAAUUGCCCCAUGACCCAGCAAUUCCACUCCCAGGUAUAUACCCAAAAGAAAUGAAAACGGGCGUUCAAAGAAAAAAAUGUACACCUGUGUUCAUGGCAGCACUAUUCAGAAGAGCCCAAAGGGGUGAACAACUCAUAGAUCCAUCGAUGGAUGGAUGGAUAAACAAAAUGCAGUGUACCCAUGCAACGCAAUUAUUCAGCCAUAAAAGCAAAUGAAGUACUAACACGUGCUACAAUGUGGAUGAACCCUGAAAACAUUAUGCUACAUGAAAAAGCCGGUCACAAAAGGCCACACAGGUAAGGCUCCAUUGAUAUGAAAUGCCCAGAAUAGACAAAUCCAUAGAAACAGCAGAUUAGUAGUUGCCAGGGGCAGGGGGAGGGGGGAACAGGGAGUGACUACUUAAUGGGUGUAUGGGCUUUCCUUUUGGGGUGAUGAAGAUGUUUAGGAACUAGAUAGCGGUGAUGGUUCAUUCACAGAACAUUGGGAAUGUACUAAAUGCCCCCAAAUUGUGCACUUUAAAAUGGUCAAAUGAUGAAUUUAAUGAUAUGUAAAUUUCACCACAAUAAAAAAAAUGAAGUAGGGAAAACAAUAGUUUCCAUAAAAGUCUUUGGAUUCAUUUAACAUUGUGCAAUAUUCAGUGAAUAGAAGUGUGAUUAUGGUUUUGGGUUUUUUUUUUUUUUUUUUGGCCAUGCAGCUUGUGGAAUCUUAGUUCCCUGACCAGGGAUUGAACCUGAGCCCUCGGCAGUGAAAGCACAGAGUCCUAACCACUGGACGGCCAGUGAAUUCCCUGAUGAUGAUUAUUUUAAAGUAGUGCUAACAGUUUAAAUUAUUUGUACCAGAAGCAAAUCCACUCUAGCUGUUGCUUCAGGUUACGUUAUAAUGAUAUUAGUGAUAUUCUAAUUUUCAGAUAGUUUCAUAACCAAAAAUAAAUUCUGAACUUUUUAAGGGAAUAUAGAGUUUGUUGGUUGGAAUUGGAUUGGCUGGCUACUCCAUUUUCAAUAGACCCAGAUGUGAAUUCAUUGGAAACAUCUGUAUUAGCCAGUUAAUCCAUAUGCAAAUGAGGAGUUCAGAUGCCCAGAGGAGCUGUGAUAAAAUGAUUAAACAGUUAAUUAGUUGCAGUGCUCUUUUCUUUCUGGAAACUCUAAGUCUAGUGGCAAACAGUCUUGCUAGAUAAAUAAUGAAGGUGUGACUAAAAUUGUAGAAAUGCUUUUCCAGAUGGCUUUUCUACUCUAAUGUGGGCACCUUAUGAAGGAUCCUUUCUAGCAAUACUGUCGAUUCCUGAAAUCUACUAUUUGUGUUUUUUUUUGUUUUUUUUUUUGGCUGUGCUGCUUGGCUUGCAGAUCUCAGCUCCCCAACCAGGGGUUGAGCCGUGCCCCCUAGAGUGGAAGCACGGAGUCCUAACCACUGGACCACCAGGGAACUCCAACCAUUUGUAACUUGCUAUGGGAACUGAAAGAAAGUUUUCCUAUCUUAUAGUCACAGUUUUUUAAAAAGUGGCAUUACUUAGCCCGUUUACCAAACUCCAUGCCAAAUAACUUCGGGCUGUUUACAAAAAUCAGUAUUUUCCACAAAGGACAAAAAUUUGUCACCCUCAGACAUGUUCGAAAGAAUGUGCCAGAGGCUCUAGGAACAAUUCCAAAAGAAGAGUUAAAAACAAAAAUUUUUUUUUUUGGAACGAUGGGACAUAUAAUUUAAAUAAGUGUUUCACCUGCCAAGGCGACUACUCCCUACUCAGGACAGGACCCCACCCAUUUAAAUAUGUUUAUUUAAAAAUCAGUCACAUUACUGGAUGGUGAAACCAUGUGUUAAUUUUCUAAUAAGGAUGACGACAUAUCCAUGGUUCUCGUUACUGUACCGUCUUCUGUCUCAUUAUCAGUGUUACAAAUAGGUGGGUUCUAGUUCUUUCUUACAGGUAAAACAGGCAUGGGUUUUUCAUAUCUUCCUUUCUGUCCCAGGAAAGGAAGGGAAUUCCCUAGUCCUCCCAUAAUACAAAUCCCUUACAGGUGUGUGUGUGUGUGUGUGUGUGUGUGUGUAAUGUUUUAACUGCCGCAAAGCACUUUGACCUACUUGAUCUCAUUCUCUGCUCACAAUAGCCUGACAGGAACACCCAGCAUUAAGGUCACUCCCAGAGCAGGAGGAAACUGAGGGAAGAAAGGUCUGAGUGAUGUGCUACUCACAGCCUCCCUCAGCCUGGCUACUUGCGGAGCCAGAACUAAGAAAUCCCCCCUUUUGAUUCUGAACUCAGGGCUCUUUCUGAUAUGCCGAAAAGCGGUAGUUCCCCGAGUGCCCAAGUGUAUGAAGAUCAAAUUUAAGGAACAAACAGUUAAAUUUGUUUGUUUAUUUGUUGGGUGGUUACUUGGUCUGUUUUUCCAGCCCCUUUCGGGCUAACUGCCACCUCAAAGUUUACCAGCUUUUAGGCUGAUUCUACUAAGAUGUUCUCUGAUGAAGUUCAGGCUCUGGUUUGUAAAAUGUUCCAGGUGGUUGAUGUAG